rnacentral:rRNA from 1 species
GAAAGUCUGACGGAGCAACGCCGCGUGAGUGAUGAAGGUUUUCGGAUYGUAAAGCUCUGUYGUUAGGGAAGAACAAGUGCGAGAGUAACUGCUCGCACCUUGACGGUACCUAACCAGAAAGCCACGGCUAAYUAYGUGCCAGCAGCCGCGGUAWUAYGUAGGUGGCAAGCGUUGUCCGGAAUUAUUGGGSGUAAAGGGCUCGCAGGCGGUUUYUUAAGUYUGAUGUGAAAGCCCCCGGCUCAACCGGGGAGGGUCAUUGGAAACUGGGAAACUUGAGUGCAGAAGAGGAGAGUGGAAUUCCACGUGUAGCGGUGAAAUGCGUAGAGAUGUGGAGGAACACCAGUGGCGAAGGCGACUCUCUGGUCUGUAAYUGACGCUGAGGAGCGAAAGCGYGGGGAGCGAACAGGAUUAGAUACCCUGGUAGUCCACSCCGUAAACGAUGAGUGCUAAGUGUUAGGGGGUUUCCGCCCCUUAGUGSUGCAGCUAACGC